GGGGAUAUAGCUCAGUUGGUAGAGUACUUGCCUUGCAUGCACAAGGCCCUGGGUUCAAUCCCCAGUACCACCA
rnacentral:tRNA from 2 species